UUCUUGCUGGAGAUUACUGCUUACCUGUGGCCCUCUGAGGAAGCUUGGACAUGCGGACAGCUAUAAUUGCACUUGUGCUUAAAGACAACAAACAACACAGAUAUGAAAAAAAGCAAAAUGCCACUGAAUGACCUUGGAGAGAAAUGCCUGGGGCACAGUGCUGCAGCAACUGACAUCAUUAACUGUGACUCUUAUGCUUGGGUCCUGGUAUAAUCAGACUUCAGAGGAAUGCUUCACAGGCAGCACCUUAUCAGUCGGUCUCAUGCACUCAUUAUGAUGCUCUGUCUUUUCUUGAGAGAACAGGGAAGAUGUACCUUGAGGCAUAUCAAGCAGUGUAGCUGGAGGUAUUAGGAAAUCUUGACAGAGUAAGACAGUGUAUUAAGAGCUUUUGGUCUGAUGAUCCUCUUAAAAAUGAGACUUCAGAACACCUAUUGCAUAGCAUGAUUCAUCUAAGACAUCAAAUAACAUGUUCUUAGCCUUUGACUUCAGUCUUAUUAAUGUUACAUUUCAAAUGAAAAAUAAAAUUAGUUAUAGCUUUUAAAAUGCAUAAUGAAUUUUGCUGUAAUCUUUUUGCAUAUUUGUCUUGUGAAAAGAUUGAUUCCUGUAAUCAAUCACUGAAUCAGUGAAUUGGAGCCUGAGUGAAGUCACUUCUAGGAUAACAUAUUAAAAACUAUGUCAACUUGUACUUUCCACGCUGAAAAAUAAUUGAUGCAAGUCAAUUUUUACAUCAGUCAUUUUUAAAGAUUGGCUGGGAUCCAUUUUCUAUAUGUGCUGGUACUUUAUGGCAAAAAUGUUCUCUUUCAUAGUAUUAUCUUAUGAAUCUCUGGCACGUUAAAUUCUCAUUGCAUAUUCUUGUGAGUAUUUUCUCUUGAGAUUAGGCAGACUUUCUCAAGUUCUCAAGCUUAAGAGGUCUCAGAUAUGGCUUAUCCUUGCACUUUUUUCUUUGGUUUCUUGCAUUCCAGACCCAGGAAGAUACAACUGUAGAAUUUUGGUUGAUAUUCCUAGAGGGUACAGAGCUAUUUCAUCUACUUUUUCCAUUAUGCUAUCUUUCAAAUGUUCCUGCAGACUAAUAACUGACCGCUUUCCAUUUGUGUUUAGCAGUAUCUAGAUAAUAUUAUGUGAUAUUUUGUGUAGUAGAAAUGUUUUCAAUUUUGUUUGAAUACGAAGUCUGGAUACAUAAGCAACUGUACUGUGAAAGUAUGUGAGUGCAAGUUAUUAUUUGUCUUGAAAAAUACAUGUGUUUGGUCCCUGAAAGGCAACUAACAGGAAGAUCAUGUGGUAGUGGUUGGUAUGUAUUUCAAUGUAAGGGAAAUAACCUUUUGCAAUUUUAAUAAAUGCUCUGUAUGCUUACUAUGAUUUUCUGACCUAUAAUGCCAAAUAUGCAGAUGACACCAUUAAAUUAUGCAUUUCUGCUUUUUUACAGUAUUUGCUUCAUUUUCCCUGUGUCCAGAUUUUUACAACAUCUGGCAUAUUUAUAGCAAUUAGCUCUGGACAGGCUGUACUGCUGUCAUUCUCAAUUGCAAAGUUCGAGAACAUACACUAAUUAUGAUUAGAAAUGAUGUAGUCAAUGAGUAAAUAGUUUAUCUUAGUCCCUUGAACUGUAGAGCUAUCAAACUUGACAGGUAUGACUGAUUAAAUGCUGUUUUCUUGGAUUAAAACUAAACCUGCUGUAAACUUAGAAUUUAGGUAGGCAAAAAAGUGAAACAGUGUAAGACUUGUUCAGUAUGACUUUUUUGCUUUGGAUAAAACAUCUGUAUACUGACUAAGGAAUCUUUUAUAAAAGUAAUCAUGAAUAAGCCAUGGACUGACUUGUAGAACAAUUGUAAUCAUGAAAUAAUUGGAACCAUUAUAUAAAUUAAGGCUACUUUGCUGAAAAUAAGCGGAUUGUUGGUUUGGCACAUUCUUGCUGAUAUAUAUAAAGGUCAAUGUCAACAUCACUUUGUAGUUAAUUCGCUUGUCAGCCUUUAUUCUCAAAUUUAAUAAUAUUGCAAUGGGUGGUUCUGUAAAAACAUUUCAUAUAUUUUUUUAUGACAUAGAAAAGAUCAUCAAGUAUUUAGCAUAUUGAUUACCCCAAUUCAAAUGUUCAUCAUUGGCUUAGUUUCUUGACAGAUAAGCUUGAGUUGUGCAAGAGCACUCAUGUUCAUACCGUAUCAAGUAGCUGCUCUAAUGCAGACUUCCUGCAUUUUACAGAAGGUCUAGCAGUGAAG
ensembl:lncRNA